AUGGAGUCUCUCAUUUGUAUAAAAGCAUAAAUGCAAGGACCAUGCAAACCACGUUACUUUGAGACUUUUCUUCAUGUUUCACUUCUUCUUCUACUUGUACACUGAAGAAAUACCAGAGUGCUAGAGCUUAAAGAGGUAGUCCAUUGUGUGGAGCAGUUAAGCAAUUGCUGUAGGAAUUGAGUGAUAAAGGAUGGGUUUUGAACCAUUGGAAUGGUACUGUAGGCCAGUGGCAAAUGGGUUUUGGGCAAAAGCAGUGGAUAGUGCUUUUGGUGCAUACACAACUUGUGCUGUUGAUUCUCUAGUCAUUUCCAUUUCUCAUUUGGUUCUUUUUGGCCUUUGCAUUUGUCGAAUAUGGCUUCUUAGAAAAAGUUCCAAAGCCAAAAGGUUUCUUUUGAGUUCGAAUUACUACAAUUAUAUUUUAGGACUGUUGGCUGGUUAUUGUACAGCUGAGCCUCUACUAAGAUUGGUCAUGGGUAUUUCUAUCUUUAACUUGGAUGGAGAUACUAGUCUUGCUCCCUUUGAGAUGGUUUCUUUGAUGAUUGAGGCUCUCGUUGGUGCCUGUGG